rnacentral:rRNA from 1 species
AUUCCAGCUCCAAUAGCGUAUAUUAAAGUUGUUGCAGUUAAAACGCUCGUAGUCGGAUUUCGGGGCGGGCCGACCGGUCUGCCGAUGGGUAUGCACUGGCCGGCGCGUCCUUCCACCCGGAGACCGCGCCUACUCUUAACUGAGCGGGCGCGGGAGACGGGUCUUUUACUUUGAAAAAAUCAGAGUGUUUCAAGCAGGCAGUCGCUCUUGCAUGGAUUAGCAUGGGAUAAUGAAAUAGGAACUCGUUUCUAUUUUGUUGGUUUUCGGAAAUCGAGUUAAUGAUUAACAGGGACAAUUGGGGGCAUUAGUAUUCAGACGACAGAGGUGAAAUUCUUAGACCGUCUGAAGACUGGCUACUGCGAAAGCAUUUGCCAAGAGUGUUUUCAUCA